rnacentral:rRNA from 1 species
GAUGAACGCUGACAGAAUGCUUAACACAUGCAAGUCUUUGGCGAAGCUGUGCUUGCACAGCCUAGCCAAGGCGGACGGGUGAGUAACGCGUAAGGAACUUGCCCUGCAGUCAGGGAUAACAGACGGAAACGACUGAUAAGACCUGGUAAAGUCAGGCGGACUCAUGUCCAGCCUGAUGAAAAGAGAUGCUGCAGGAGAGCCUUGCGUCCUAUUAGCUUGUUGGUGGGGUAACGGCCCACCAAGGCGAUGAUAGGUAGCCGGCCUGAGAGGGUGGACGGCCACAAGGGGACUGAGAUACGGCCCUUACUCCUACGGGAGGCAGCAGUGGGGAAUAUUGGACAAUGGGGGCAACCCUGAUCCAGCAAUUCUGUGUGCACGAUGAAGGUUUUCGGAUUGUAAAGUGCUUUCAGCAGAGAAGAAAAAAAUGACGGUACCUGCAGAAGAAGCGACGGCUAAAUACGUGCCAGCAGCCGCGGUAAUACGUAUGUCGCAAGCGUUAUCCGGAAUUAUUGGGCAUAAAGGGCAUCUAGGCGGCCAGAUAAGUCUGGGGUGAAAACUUGCGGCUCAACCGCAAGCCUGCCCUGGAAACUAUGUGGCUAGAGUACUGGAGAGGUGGACGGAACUGCACGAGUAGAGGUGAAAUUCGUAGAUAUGUGCAGGAAUGCCGAUGAUGAAGAUAGUUCACUGGACGGUAACUGACGCUGAAGUGCGAAAGCUAGGGGAGCAAACAGG